CACAUGCAAGUCGAACGGGCUUCUUCGGAAGUCAGUGGCAGACGGGUGAGUAACACGUGGGAACGUGCCCUUCGGUUCGGAAUAACUCAGGGAAACUUGAGCUAAUACCGGAUACGCCCUUAUGGGGAAAGGUUUACUGCCGAAGGAUCGGCCCGCGUCUGAUUAGCUUGUUGGUGGGGUAACGGCCUACCAAGGCGACGAUCAGUAGCUGGUCUGAGAGGAUGAUCAGCCACACUGGGACUGAGACACGGCCCAGACUCCUACGGGAGGCAGCAGUGGGGAAUAUUGGACAAUGGGCGCAAGCCUGAUCCAGCCAUGCCGCGUGAGUGAUGAAGGCCUUAGGGUUGUAAAGCUCUUUUGUCCGGGACGAUAAUGACGGUACCGGAAGAAUAAGCCCCGGCUAACUUCGUGCCAGCAGCCGCGGUAAUACGAAGGGGGCUAGCGUUGCUCGGAAUCACUGGGCGUAAAGGGCGCGUAGGCGGCCGAUUAAGUCGGGGGUGAAAGCCUGUGGCUCAACCACAGAAUUGCCUUCGAUACUGGUUGGCUUGAGACCGGAAGAGGACAGCGGAACUGCGAGUGUAGAGGUGAAAUUCGUAGAUAUUCGCAAGAACACCAGUGGCGAAGGCGGCUGUCU
rnacentral:rRNA from 1 species